rnacentral:rRNA from 1 species
GACAGAGGUGCCGAGCGUUAGGCGGGAUCACUGGGCUUAAAGCGUGUGUAGGCGGGCGGGCAAGUACCUUGUGAAAUCCCACGGCUCAACCGUGGAACGGCUGGGUAUACUGCCUGUCUUGAGCCAACUAGGGGCGAGCGGAACAGACGGUGGAGCGGUGAAAUGCGUAGAUAUCGUCUGGAACGCCAAAGGUGAAAACAGCUCGCUGGGGUUGUGCUGACGCUGAGACACGAAAGCCAGGGGAGCGAACGGG